rfam:Lepisosteus oculatus linkage group LG7, whole genome shotgun sequence.
GCCAGCAGCCAUAUCACCCUGAAACUCACAACUAGCAACCUACUGAAGCUAAGCAGGUGUGAGCCUGGUCAGUUCCUGAAUGAGAGACCUCCUGGGAAAAACUAAGGUUGCUGCUAGAA